rnacentral:lncRNA from 1 species
GGCUCCGCGCGCCUGCCAGGCCGGGGCCGGCGGCGGAACAGCUUGGGACCCGAAACGCCUCGGCUUUUCUGCGGACCCGCGCCCGGCCGCUGCCGCCGGACGCUUGAAAAGAGGCAGAGUCUUGCUUUGUUGUCCAGGCUGGUCUUGAACUUCUGAGCUCAAGUGAUCCUCCCGCCUUGGCCUCCCAAAGUGCUGAGACUACAGAGAGAGAAUGCUAACGAGCUGUGAAAUGACCAAAGAUCUGGCAGCAGAAGGGAAAAGAAAAAAUAAUGGAAUAUUUUCUGUCUACAAUUGGUUGAAUCUGUGGAUGUGGAAACUGCAGAUACAGAUGGAGAGCCGACUAUACUAGCUUUUUGUUUCAUUUUUCACUUCUGGUGUGUGUGUGUGUGUGUGUGUGUGUGUGUGUGUGUGUGUAUCUGUGUGUGUGUUUUAUUAAUCUCUGUGCCUGCAUGUUAGUUUCUUCCUCUUUAUUUGGAUUUUCACUAACAUUCUUUUCAGCUUCUUCAGUUGGAUACUUGUUGCCAAUAUAUUUUUUUUCAUUCUAAGAAUUAAAUAAAUGGGCCAGGCGUGGUGGCUCAUGCCUGUAAUCCCAGCACUUUGGGAGGCCAAGAUGGGUGGAUCACAAGGUCAGGUGUUUGAGACCAGCUUGGCCAAAGCUGGUGAAACUCCAUCUCUACUAAAAAUACAAAAAUUAGCUGGGCAUGGUGGUGCGCGUCUAUAAUCCCAGCUACUCAGGAAGCUGAGGCAGGAGAAUCACUUGCACCCAAGAAGUGGAGGUUGCAGUGAGCCAAGAUUGCGCCAUUGCACCCCAGCCUGGGCAACACAGCGAGACUCCAUCUGAAAAAAAAAAAAAAGAAUAAAUGAAUGUAUUAAUCACCAAACUGCUCUUCAUCAGAAACUCUUAGCAGUGGUAUGUUGAGGUCUCCCUGCCUACCGUAUAUGUCUCUUAACUCUGCGGGUGCAAUAUUUUGUCAUGGGUCAGUUUAGCAAUAUUGUACUAUUUCCCAAUUUUCUAAGUGUGUUCAUUUCAGAGUUUAUCCUAUUCAUUGUUCUUUCUUUCUUUUAAAAAUUUCUAUGACUGAGCUGGACAUGGUAGCUCACACCUGUAAUCCUAGCACUUUGGGAGGCUGAGGAGAGUGGAUCACCUGAGGUCAGGAGUUCCAAACCAGCCUGGCCAACAUAGUGAAACCCUGUGUCUACUAAAAAUACAAAAAAUUAGCUGGCCAUGGUGGCAGGCGCCUGUAAUCCCGGCUACUAGGGAGGCUGAGGCAGGAGAAUCUCUUGAAUCCAUGAGGCGGAGGUUGCGGUGAGCCAAGAUCAUGCCAUUGCACUCCAGCCUGGGCACCAAGAGUGAAACUCUGUCUCAAAACAAAAAAAAACUUUUCUAUGACUGUAUUUUUAAUUCUCAGGAUUUUAAUUUGUUAUUCUUCAUAAUCAUAGCUAUUUUAUUUCUGACGGUUCGUGCUUCAUAAUUUUUAUGAAUGUUAUUCCUCUGCUUAAUUCCUUUGAAAGUCUUGAACAAAUUCUUUUUAAAGAAGUAAUUUUCAGAUACUCUAGUAUUUUGUUUUUACCUGGUGUGAAUGCUUCUCCAUGUUGUGGUUUCUAUUUUUGGCAGUCUUUCUUAUUUCUCUCCCUCUCUCCUUUUCUCUGUUCCUUCUUCUCUUCCUUCAUUCCUUCCUUCCUGUCCCCCUAGGCUUAACCUUCCUGGUCUCAUAGUUUUGCCGUUACCUACUUUCUGGGCCUCCCAGGCCUAGACCUCGGUUUUAUCCUAUAGUAUUGUAGAUCCAGUUCCUUCUCUAGGGUCAAAUUCCGUCUUUAAGACUAUGCCUGGUUCUUCCAUGUCCCUAGGUAUACAGAUGUUUACAAGCCUGUAGCCCUAGGCAAUUCCUUUCAAGGGGGUAGCCUUAUCCCAGCCCUUGAUUUCAUGUGAGUCUUCUGCCUCACAUGGGUUAUUUAGUUCUUAGUACCCUGUAUGAGUCUUGCCCCUGGAUGCCUCUGUUUGCUGUUGGCAGAAUUGAGCUGGUCUACAUCUUCAGGCUACUUACCAUAUUGUUUCUGUUCCAUUUCUGGGCUAUGGAGAUGUUUUUAAGUGUGAAAAUGCCUUACAUUUUUCCCAUUUUAUAUUAAAUCUAUUAUCACUAUCAUUUUGGAUUGGCGUGGUCCUCAAAGCCCCAUCUUGACUAGAAAUCAACUAGCAUUUGCUUCUCUGCAGUUCGUAAUCUAGCUUCCUCUCUCACCUUUCUCUUGGCAAUUGCCCUCUCUGAAGUCACUGCUGUUGUUUCCGAGUCACUGAAUGAAACCGUUUUUCCUUCAGCCCCCAUUUUCCUUCACUCCUCUGCAGCAUCCAGCAGUGUUGACUGCUCUUCCUUUUACCUCUCUCCUGUUGGCUGUUAGGAUGCUCUGCUGUCCCGGAUCACUACCUCUUCUGAUGCUUCCAGUUUUUAAACUGCUUUCACUUUUUCUUCCCCUUUUGUAACUGUGGAUGUCCCACAAGGCCAAGUCCUUGGUGCUCUGGUUUUACCCUCUAUUUCAGCUAAUUUUGCUUAUUCUCAUCUUUGGUCAUUGCUAAGUCCCUAUCUGUUCACCAGGGCUUCCCCCUCCCCUGAGUUCUAAGCUACAGAUCUGCUUGUGACACGUUCCACUUGAUGCCCUGCUGUUCCAUCAAAUUUCCUCCCCUUUAAUCCUCCCAAAUGCCAUUACAGAUAUCAUUAUUCUUAGAUGGAGUCUUGCUCCGUUGCCCAGGCUGGAGUAUAGUGGUGUGAUCUCGGCUCACUGCAACCUUCACCUCCUGUGUUCAAGUGAUUCUCCUGCUUCAGCCUCCUGAGUAGCUGGGAUUACAGGCAUGCACCACCACACCAGAGUAAUUUUUGUAUUUUUUGUGGAGAUGGGGUUUCACCAUGUUGGCCAGGCUGGUCUCAAACUCCUGACCUCAAGUGAUCCUCCCACCUCAGCCUCCCAAAGUGCUGUGAUUACAGAAGUGAGCCACCAUGCCCAGCCUGUUAUAGAUAUCAUCUUUCCCUUAGUUUCUAAGGCUCAGAAUCAUACCCUUCCUUGAUUCCUCAUAUUUUCUCCAGAGUCAGUUAAUUAUACAUCCUAUCCAUCCUCUUUCCUGUCAUUUCCUCUUUUUGCCAUUGCACGGCUCACACACCUGCUAUGGUCCCUUGUUAUUUCUUCUUUUGGACCAUUUUGGUAUUCUUCCAGAGAAGCAGGACAGUUAAAUGUGGCAAUAUUUGGACUCAUUUGUGUUCAAAAUUUGUGAUAUGGAUUCUUCCCACAUCCCCUGCCCCAAUAACAAAACUUACCUUAUAAAUAUUCACAGCUUUCUUUGCUGCCCUCUCUCUGACACCAAGGAGGAAGAAUUCUCUGAUGAAUGAGCAAAGUUUAAAGACUUUGUGUUUAUGUGUUCUGGGUAAUGGAUUUACUUUAGAAGAGCAAGAAACUGUUCAAAAGAAAAGAAUUUAAUUGAGCUGAAACCUAAAGGAUGAGUAGGGACUCUCAGGACAACCCAGGGAAGGAUGGAGUUGUAUUCCAGAUAGAGGGGUGGUAUGGUUUGGAACUGUGUCCCCACCAAAUCUCAUGUCGAAUUGUAAUCCCCAGUGUUGGCGGUGGAGCCUGGCAGGAAGUGACAAGAUCAUGGGGACGUAUUUCUCAUGAAUGGUUUAGCACUAUCGUGUUGGUGCUGUUCUUAUGAUAGUGAGUUCUUGCAAGAUCUGGUUGUUUCAAAGUACGUGGCACUUCCCCCCUUCGCUCUCUCUCUUGCCGUCACUCUAGUCAUGUGAGAUGUGUGCUUCUCCUUCACCUUCCACCAUGACUGUAAGUUUCCUGAGGCCUCCCCAGAAACCAAGAAGAUGACAGCAUCAUGCUUCCUGUAUAGCACAAAGAACUGCGAGCUAGUUAAACCUCUUUUCUUUUUAAAUUACCCUGUCUCAGGUAUUUAUAGCAAUGUGAGAAUGGACUAAUACAAGGGGGAAGCACAAGCAAAGACAGAAGGAAAAUACAACAGGGUGUCUGUGAGUGUGUGUGCACAUUUGUGUGUGCAUGUGGCGGGGUCUACAAAGAGUCACUGUGAACCAGGGAGUGGGGAGUGCUGAGAAUGGACAGAAAAGAUUCAUGUGCCCAGUUGAGAAAUAUAAUUUGAGGAGUCACAGAAGUAUUGUUAAGUGAGAGUUGAGAUCGCAUGGCCACGUUCGUCGCCAGGUUUCUAACUUUGGAUGGCAUCUUUCACCACGCAGGACUCAAUGGGGAGGAAGCAGGGGUAUGGGUUGAGGAUUCUGAUGAGACUGUCACUACUACUCUUUCUUGCUUCAUUAGUGUUGUUUGUGACACCCAGAAGAGCUGAAGGGGGCAUCUUUGUGGGGAAGGAGUAGAAGGGUAGCCCUCAGAAAGGGGGUUCCUGGGAUAGUCAGAAUGUGUUUACCAGGAAGAGAGGCAGAAUUAAGGGGCUGGCAACAUAGCUGGGAAGUUGACUGCAUGGGUUGUCAUAUCUAAAAGAGAUUUCAAAGAUGGAAACAGGAGCAUGGGCGAAGUUGAGAUCUCAGCCCCCUCAUUUUACUGUUCCCCUACUUGUGAAAUUCAUUUUAGUUCUUCAGGGCCCAUCUGAAAUGCCAGCUUCUCUCUGAAGGUUUUCCUUUAGACCUUGGCUGGAAGAUAUCUCUUUCUCUUUGGAAACUCUAUAACUUGUGGUUUGCAAGUAUUUUAUGGCUUUGUAUUCCCCCUUAUGUGUAAGAUCCUUGAAGAUUGUUUUGCAUAUCUUUGUAUCUCCUCCACCACCUGAGACUCUCUGCUGUGUGUAGGAUCUCUGCUGAAGAAAUCAUAAUGGAACUGAAUCUGUACUUUCACAGGAAAAGUACAUGCUACAGGAUUUAAUAAAUAUGAAUCUUACAUAAGGAAAUAGCUCAAGGAAUUUGAAUAUUUCAAAGCUCUAUCCAUAUAAAGCCUGAAUAAUUCAUGCAAAUAUUUGAAGAAAAGAACAAAAGCUUAUCUAAUAUUUCAGUACACUGCUCUUUAUUUUGGUCCAUAAAAGGAGAUCUUGUGCUUAGUUUUGGUGGUAAACUCAGCUUUAGCAGCUUUGAAAUGCAGAUUAGAUCAAUUACAUCACAAUUAUAUUUGAAAAUUGAAAAACAGCAUUAUCCAAAAGUCAAAUUCCAAAUUUAUGCCUUUUCAAAGGAAGUGUCAUUUGGAAAGAAACUGAUUCACACCAUGAAAUAUGUGGCAUUUCUUUUGGUUUCCAGUCUCUUCUAUAGUAGUAGAAGGCUCAUGUGAUAUGCAGACAUGUGCUUAAUCAAAUUUAGCUUUCCUUUUCAAGUUAAGAAAAUGUAUAUGAAGUAUUUCUGAGAUAAAAAGAGGCACAGUCUUUUUUUUUUUUUUUUUAGCACAAACAUCUCCUAUGCUGCUGCAUUUGUCUUAAUUCCUUAUUUGAAAAUUUGGCUUUGUUUAUGUAAUGUACAAAUUCCUAUUCACUUAAAACAGGACCAGAAUAGCCUGGAACCCUAUAGAGCUAAAUGAUAUUUUAGAGUGCUGAUCCUCAUUUUCUCUUCGGUAAAGAACACAACACGAUUAUUUGUAUUUAUCUUGUCGUACACACACUCAGGAUUACUCACUGAGGAAUGGGGCUCAAGUUUGGUUGCAAGACUUCCAUUUACUAGGCUGUGUGAUGUUGAGCAAGUCACUUAAUCUCUGAGGUAAAAUGAGGGGCCUGUUGCCUAAAAUUCCGUGCUUCUGUAAUUUAAGUAUAAUUGACCCAGAUGUUUGAUGAUUACUUUGAAAAUUGAAAAAAGAUGCUAGUGGCCAUAAGAAAUUUGUACCACUGUGCCCCGAGUAGUGCUUCUGAAAUAGUAACACAGGGAGAAGGUUGGGAGGCCCCUUCUUUGUCAUUUACAUAGGGUUUGUUUGUCUGAAGUAGCAGAUGCCAAGUGUUAGGGGUCCAAAGAUGCUACCAGAAUUAGAGGAGAUGGAGAAAAGGCUAACGGAAUUUUCUUAAUUCGAAAAAAAAAAAAAAGGCCAGGCGCGGUGGCUUACGCCUGUAAUCCCAGCACUCUGGAAGGCUGAGGCGGGAGGAUCACCUGAAGUCAGAAGUUCAAGACCAGCCUGGCCAUGGUGAAACCCCGUCUCUACUAAAAAUGCAUAAAAUUAGCCGGGCAUGGUGGUGCGCGCCUGUAAUCCCAGCUACUGGGGAGGCUGAGGCAGGAGAAUCGCUUGAACCUGGGAGGUGGAGGUUGCAGUGAGCCGAGAUGGCUCCAUUGCACUCCAGCCUCGGCAACAAGAGGGAAACUCCAUCUCAAAAAAAACAAAAAACAACAACAAUAAAAAACCCAAAGCAAAACAGAAAUGAGUUUCUAAUUGUAUUGCAAAUUACUUGCAGGACUGAAAAUGAUUGAACUGUCACACAUUUCUACAUUAAUAAGCACUAUCCAAAAGAAUCAGUUACAACAGAGUAAUUUACCAAGAUUAAUCUUUAAAAAGAAUCUCAUUUUUAAGAGCUCAUUUUCAGGGUUGUAGAUAUAUAUAUAUAUAUAUAUAUAUAUAUAUAUUUUUUUUUUUUUUUAAACGAGGUUUCGCUCUUGUUGUUCAGGCUGGAGUGCAAUGGUGCGAACUCGGCUCACCGCAACCUCUGCUUCCCGGGUUCAAGCGAUUAUCCUGCCUCAGCCUCCGAAGUAGCUGGGAUUACAGGCACACACCACAUUGCCCGGCUAAUUUUGUAUUUUUAGUAGAUGGGGUUUCUCCAUGUUGGUCAGGCUGGUCUCACACUCCCGACCUCAGGUGAUCUGCUCGCCUUGGCCUCCCAAAGUGCCGAGAUUACAGGCUUCAGCCACCGGCGCCUGGCUGGUUAUAGCUUUUUAAAACAAUUUGCUUAUUGUUUCUUAGUUUGUAGAAAGUUUCUCUUGGAGAUUUGUGAAGGAAAUACAUGUGAUCGCUUUUGUGAUGUGUUCAGAUGGAAAGAAAAUCUAACUUUCAUAAGAAAAAUUGUAUCACACUAGAUGCAGGAAAAAAAUAGAUAUUCGAAGAACCACAUACCAGAUGCAGAUGAAAUGAAGAAGAGGAUUUAUCUGACUCAACUGGAGAUGGCUCCCUUCCCUUAUUUAUUGUUGCAUCCUGAAGCUUCCCCCAUGCUGGGCUCAGUGUGAACAAACAGCGCGGGAGAAUGCAACCACUGCAGAGGCAUAUGUUUGAGAUACCUGGCCACUGGAGGUCAUCUCGUCUACUAUAUUCACCGCAGAUAAAGAAUGAAAAGAGAAUACACAACCUUGUGAUUGCUAGCAGUGAAAGCUCAGAGUUAUGACAUAACAAGUGGUUGAUCAUACUGUAAAACUCAAAUGUGAAGGGAAGGCUGGAACCUACUGGAAACUGAAGAUCUAACGAAAAGAAGGAACUUUUAGGAACUAGCAGAGACUUCAAAAUGUUGAGAACUCUCUUUUUUCAUAAGAGAAGAUAAAAACUCUGAUGGUCACACUCAUAAAGACAAAAAACAAAUAAAAAACAAACAAAAACUCAGAAUCACAAGAGCAAAGAAAAUGUAGGUAAAACAAUAACAGAAGAGGUAAAGAAAUUUAUGUGAAUUGGGACACUCUGGGGCACAGAACAGAAGAGGAGAAGAAACAUGAAAGUAAUGCUCUGCACAAGGAUGUCUGACUGUCCUUGAUUCCAAGGGCAUUUAAAAUUAGCCACUGGAUGAGAACCAUGAAAUGCCAUGACUCUUACAGCUCCCAUGAAAGACAUUGGAUGGAACUUAUCCUAACUGGACCAAAUUCUAAAAAAUUUUACAUGAUAUUAUAAUGAGUUGAAAGUUGAAAAAAAAAAGCUCUUCUAGAUUACCAAGAAUAAAACACAAAUUUCUAGCUGACUGAAUUAAUUCUCAUCUCUCUAUAGAAAGAUCAUAGAAAUUUUUUUUAUCAUGCAAAGAAAUAGCUAAAAAUUUACAAAAAUAUAGACGUGCAUUAGGCAGCUCAUGAAUAAAUGCGUUUUUUCCUUUUUUCCUCCAGAAUUUUGUGAUGUUUAUGGUACUUUUCGGCUUUUAAAAUUUUGUAUUUAAUCAGGAUUUAUUACUUCAUUGUAAGUAAAUAUUAAAUUUGUACUCCAUCUUUGUUUGUAAUUUUGUAUAUUUUUCAGUAAAAAGGACUCCCCAGAUUAUGUAAGCUUUAGGCCCCACAAAAUCUAGGCCUGUUGCUGUAUCCUUUCUAGAGCAGUGUUUCUCAAACUUCAAUGUGCAUUUGAAUCUCCUGGGGCUCCUGUUAAAAUAUAGCUUCUGAGAUGAUGCAUUUCUAACAGACUCCCAGGGCUGACACUGCCCAUCUGGGGACCACACUUUGAGAAUCAAAUAUCUAGAACAAUGGUUCUUACCUGGCUGUGCAUUGGGAUCAUUUAUAGUGCUUUUGGAAAAUACAUUGUGUCCAGGUCCCACCCAGUUCUCAGUAGGCUUGGAAUGGGGUCCUACACUUUUUUUUUUUAACUCCACAGUUUGGGAAAGAAGCCUUUUCAUAUAUUGUUGGUGGGAAUACAAAUUGAUACAGCCAUUUUUGAGCUUGAUUUGGCAAUAUCUUCCUUGGAGAAAUCAAAAGCCAGUUGGCAAGCCAGUCUGGAAAAGGCAGUUUACUGAUUCCCACCCGAGGGUCACAAAGCAGGUAUAGAAGGAUGGGCUUUGGCUGAAAUAUAUGAUGGGUACAGGUAUAUUCUCUAUAAUCCAGUAUUUCCACUGCUGAAAACGUAUCCUAGUAACAUUAUACAUAUCAAGCCUACAUAUAAAGUUGGUCAAUUCCAUAUUAUUUGUAGUAGGGGAAAACUGAAAGCAGUCUACAUGCCCAUCAAUAGAUUAUUCAAAUUAUGGAACAGUUUUCCAAUGACAAAACAAUAGCUAAUCUUAGUUAAGCAAUUAUUAUGUUAUGUAAGGUAGACAUUGUUCUACCUUAUUUAUAAGUAUUAAGUUAGUUUUUAUAACUAUCAUAUUUCCAUUUUACAAAUGACAUAAUUUAUAUUAUUGACAUGGGAAGAUGUCCAAGGAUAUAAUAAGCAAAAAGCAAGUAGCAAAACAUUAUGUAUAUUAUGCAUUACCAUUAUAAUAUACUAAAAAGUAAUGCACUUGAUUCUGAUGCACACUCCCCAGUAGGUAACAACUUAUCUAGUGUAAAAAUGAAAGAACAUUCUGGGCCGGGCACGGUGGCUCAUGCCUGUAAUCCCAGCACUUUGGGAGGCCCAGGUGGGCGGAUCACAAGGUCAGGAGAUCGAGACCAUCCUGGCUAACAUGGUGAAACCCCGUCUCUACUAAAAAUACAAAAAAAAAAUUAGCUGGGCGUGGUGGCCGGCGCCUGUAGUCGCAGCUACUCGGGAGGCUGAGGCAGGAGAAUGGCGUGAACCCGGGAGGCGGAGCUUUCAGUGAGCGGAGAUAGCGCCAUUGCACUCCAGCCUGGGCGACAGAGCGAGACUCUGCCUCAACAACAACAACAACAACAACAAAAAAAAAAAAAAAAAAAAAAAAAGAACAUUCUGUUACCUCAAACACGCUGUUUUCAUGCAAUUUAGUUAACUGGUAGCACUUUCAGAAGAAGACAAAGUAAAAAUGGUUAGGUCAAUUUGGUGGCAUAGAGUAUUCUAUCGAUCAGUGGUCAAAAGAGUAGUCAUUCUGAGUGAUCUCUAACAUUAGGGUUGAUGGAAGAGAUGACCCAUAGAUGUCCCUACAUCUCAUUUCUCUUAGGACACACACUUGGGAGAAAUCGUCCAGUGCACUUUGUCCAGGCCUUUUACUUGUACCAACUACUUUGCUUUAUGCUGUUUUCACUUUAGUGGUUCUGCCUUCUAGUCCACAGAAAAGUUUUUUCUUAACGUAUUUUUUUCCCAACACUUUAUUAUGGGAAUUUUCAAACAUACAGAAAAGAUAAAAGAAAUUUACAGAGAAUACUCGUGUCUCUAUCAGCUAGAUUCUACAGUUAACAUUUUACUAUAGUAGUUUUAUUGCAUAUCUGUUUAUCUCCCUGUGCAUCCAUGGAUCCAAUUCAUCUUUAGGAUGCAUUUCAAAGCAAGUUGCUGACGUCAGUACACUUCCCUCUCAAUACUUUAGUAUGUGGAUCAAUAACCCUAGCUUAAGAUUUGUUGAUUGUUUUUCUUUCCUUUUGAAGUAAAAUUUACACACAAGGAAAUGCACACAUCUUAAGUGGACCAUUUGAUGAGUUUUGAGUAAUGCCCACAUUGUGUAACUCAAACGUCUAUCAAGAAAGAACAUUACCAUACCUGAGAGUAUCCUCAUGCUCCUCCCCUGGGGUACUCCCUGCCUCUCCACACCAAUCCCCCCAGGUAACAACUGUUCUGAUAUCCCCCUCACCAUAUAUACCUGCUCUAGAACAUCAUAUAAAUGGAAUGAUACAAUAUGUCUUUUGUAUAAGCUUUAUUCCACUCAGCAUAAUGUUUUUGCCAUUCACCCAUAUUAUUGAUCAUAUUAGUACCUUGCUCCUUCUUAUUACUGAGUAGUAUUAGAUAGUAUAAACAUAGCGUAGUCUAUUUUCCUAUUUUGAUGGAUAUGUGGGCUUGUUCUGAUUUUUGCUUAUUAUGAAUAAAACUUCUGAGUAUUCUUGUACAAGUAUUUUUUGGACAUACAUUUUCAUUUCUCUUGGCAAAAUACCUAGGAAUGGAAUUGCUGGGUCAUAGGGUAUACUUUUAGUUUUGUAAGAAGCUGUCAGAUCUCUUCCCAAAGUGGUUGUAACAUUUUACACUCCUACUAACAGUGCAUGGGAAGCCAGUUUCUCUAUAUCCUCUCCAACAUUUGGUGCUGUCAAUCUUUUAAAAUUUUAGCCAUUUUUGUGGUUGUAUAGUGUUAUCUCAUUGCA